GCCGGUGUGGCGGAAUUGGCAGACGCGCAUGGUUCAGGUCCAUGUGACCGCAAGGUCGUGGAGGUUCAAAUCCUCUCACCGGUAC
rnacentral:tRNA from 1 species